UGGUUUUGCUAAUAAUAAUCAAUACACCAAAAAAACAUGGUUACUAAACUUUUACCACAAAAAAAAAAACAUUCAUUUUCGUAAGGGGAAUAUGAGUGUUUGUUUUUUUGUAGUUUUUCAGUCAAUUGCAUACCGCUUUUAGCUGUACAAAACUUAAACAGUUUUCGUAAAUGCAUUUCAGAGAAAAGUGAAUUCUGAGAUUUGAAUAAUGCAUCUGACGUGUGUGUGAUGACGUCACGACGCACGUAUUUUGAUUUUUACCAGUCGUUCAAGGCGGACGGAUUCAGUCCCAAGAAGCUAAAGUUUUUCAAAGACAUUUGUAGGGAGGACUUUGCAGCUAAUGAUUUCCUUAGGCUGAACCAAAACCUGCCAGACUAAAGUUGAUUUGGGAGAGAAAGACGUUGUAAACUCAAUCAUCUUGACAUUCUUCAAUGAGUAAUUGUUCAAUUUUUAGGCAAAUACUGUACACUUUGAAUGCUGUGAAUAAAACUAUAUUUUAAAUAUAUUUAAAAUGAA